rnacentral:piRNA from 2 species
UCUGAGAUGCAGUUGUGCCUGAUAGGAGGGC